rnacentral:rRNA from 1 species
UAGUCCACGCCGUAAACGAUGAUCACUCGCUGUAGGCGAUACACAGUCUGUGGCUAAGCGAAAGUUUUAAGUGAUCCACCUGGGGAGUACGAUCGCAAGAUUGAAACUCAAAGGAAUUGACGGGGGCCCGCACAAGCGGAGGAACAUGUGGUUUAAUUCGAUGAUACGCGAGGAACCUUACCUGGACUUAAAUGUAGAUUGCAUAGCUUGGAGAUAGGCUUUUCUUCGGACUAUUUACAAGGUGCUGCAUGGUUGUCGUCAGCUCGUGCUGUGAGGUGUUGGGUUAAGUCCCGCAACGAGCGCAACCCCUAUUGUUAGUUGCCAGCACAUUAUGGUGGAGACUCUAACAAGACUGCCGGCGUAAGCCGAGAGGAAGGUGGGGAUGACGUCAAAUCAUCAUGGCCUUUAUGCCUAGGGCGACACACGUGCUACAAUGGCCAGUACAGAGGGCAGCGAACCCGCGAGGGGGAGCCAAUCCCAGAAAGCUGGUCCCAGUUCGG